CAAGCUGGCGGCAUGCCUAUCAUGCAAGUCGAGCGAAUGACGAAGAAGCUUGCUUCUUCUGAUUUAGCGGCGGACGGGUGAGUAACACGUGGGCAACCUGCCCUGUAGAUUGGGAUAACUCCGGGAAACCGGGGCUAAUACCGAAUAAUCCAUUUCCUCACAUGGGGAAAUGUUAAAAGACGGCAUCUCGCUGUCACUACAGGAUGGGCCCGCGGCGCAUUAGCUAGUUGGUGAGGUAACGGCUCACCAAGGCGACGAUGCGUAGCCGACCUGAGAGGGUGAUCGGCCACACUGGGACUGAGACACGGCCCAGACUCCUACGGGAGGCAGCAGUAGGGAAUCUUCCACAAUGGACGAAAGUCUGAUGGAGCAAUGCCGCGUGAGUGAAGAAGGUUUUCGGAUCGUAAAACUCUGUUGUGAGGGAAGAACAAGUAUGAGAGUAACUGCUCGUACCUUGACGGUACCUCAUUAGAAAGCCACGGCUAACUACGUGCCAGCAGCCGCGGUAAU
rnacentral:rRNA from 1 species